rnacentral:tRNA from 1 species
AGUCUUAAGUUUAAACUUAAAUUGCAAAUUUAAGAAUGCUUCGUAUAAGCUAAGGCUU